rnacentral:rRNA from 1 species
UACAGAGGUCUCAAGCGUUGUUCGGAUUCAUUGGGCGUAAAGGGUGCGUAGGUGGCGGGGCAAGUCUGGUGUGAAAUCCCGGGGCUCAACCCUGGAACUGCACUGGAUACUGCCUUGCUAGAGUACUGGAGAGGGAACUGGAAUUUACGGUGUAGCAGUGAAAUGCGUAGAUAUCGUAAGGAAGACCAGUGGCGAAGGCAGGUCUCUGGACAGUUCCUGACGCUGAGGCACGAAGGUCAGGGGAGCAAACGGG